rnacentral:tRNA from 1 species
GGGGGUUUCGCUCAGUUGGUAGAGCCCCUGCUUAGCAAGCAGGAUCUCAGCGGUUCGAGUCCGCUAACCUCCA